GUGACGAAGCGACGCCGCGUGCGGGAAGAAGGCCUUCGGGUUGUAAACCGCUGUCGGGAGUUAAGAAAUGUAAGGAUGUUAAUAGCUUCUUUGCUUGACUAAGGCUCCGGAGGAAGCCACGGCUAACUCUGUGCCAGCAGCCGCGGUAAUACAGAGGCGGCAAGCGUUGUUCGGAAUUAUUGGGCGUAAAGAGCACGUAGGCGGCUAUGUAAGUCGGUUGUGAAAGCCUUCCGCUCAACGGGAGAACAGCAUCCGAUACUGCAUGGCUUGAGUGCGGGAGGGGAGAGUGGAACUUCUGGUGGAGCGGUGAAAUGCGUAGAUAUCAGAAGGAACGCCGGCGGCGAAAGCGGCUCUCUGGCCCAUAACUGACGCUGAGUGUGCGAAAGCUAGGGGAGCAAACGGGAUUAGAUACCCCGGUAGUCCUAGCCGUAAACGAU
rnacentral:rRNA from 1 species